rnacentral:tRNA from 1 species
GGGGCUAUAGCUCAGUUGGUAGAGCGCUGCCAUGGCAUGGCAGAGGCCAGGGGUUCGAAUCCCCUUAGCUCCA